AAGGGCAGACUAGUGGAGGUGUGUGUUACGUUGGAGUGGAGCGAAGGACAGGCUAGCGGAGGUGUGUGUUACGUCAGAGAGGAGCGAAGGACAGGCUAGCGGAGGUGUGUGUUACGUCAGAGUGGAGCGAAGGGCAGACUAGUGGAGGUGUGUGUUACGUCAGAGUGGAGCGAAGGGCAGACUAGUGGAGGUGUGUGUUACGUUGGAGUGGAGCGAAGGGCAGGCUAGCGGAGGUGUGUGUUACGUCAGAGUGGAGCGAAGGGCAGACUAGUGGAGGUGUGUGUUACGUUGGAGUGGAGCGAAGGACAGGCUAGCGGAGGUGUGUGUUACGUCAGAGAGGAGCGAAGGACAGGCUAGCGGAGGUGUGUGUUAGGUCUGUUUGAGUGGAGCAGGGGGCAGACUAGCGGAGGCCUGUGUUAGGUCUGUUUGAGUGGAGCAGGGGGCAGACUAGCGGAGGCCUGUGUUAGGUCUGUUUGAGUGGAGCAGGGGCAGACUAGCGGAGGCCUGUGUUAGGUCUGUUUGAGUGGAGCAGGGGGCAGACUAGCGGAGGCCUGUGUUAGGUCUGUUUGAGUGGAGCAGGGGGCAGACUAGCGGAGGCCUGUGUUAGGUCUGUUUGAGUGGAGCAGGGGGCAGACUAGCGGAGGCCUGUGUUAGGUCUGUUUGAGUGGAGCGAAGGACAGACUAGCGGAGGCCUGUGUUAGGUCUGUUUGAGUGGAGCAGGGGGCAGACUAGCGGAGGUGUGUGUUAGGUCUGUUUGAGUGGAGCAGGGGGCAGACUAGCGGAGGUGUGUGUUAGGUCUGUUUGAGUGGAGCAGGGGGCAGACUAGCGGAGGCCUGUGUUAGGUCUGUUUGAGUGGAGCAGGGGGCAGACUAGCGGAGGCCUGUGUUGAGGUCUGUUUGAGUGGAGCAGGGGGCAGACUAGCGGAGGCCUGUGUUAGGUCUGUUUGAGUGGAGCAGGGGGCAGACUAGCGGAGGUGUGUGUUAGGUCUGUUUGAGUGGAGCAGGGGGCAGACUAGCGGAGGCCUGUGUUAGGUCUGUUUGAGUGGAGCAGGGGGCAGACUAGCGGAGGCCUGUGUUAGGUCUGUUUGAGUGGAGCAGGGGGCAGGCUAGCGGAGGCCUGUGUUAGGUCUGUUUGAGUGGUGCAGGGGGCAGACUAGCGGAGGCCUGUGUUAGGUCUGUUUGAGUGGUGCAGGGGGCAGGCUAGCGGAGGUGUGUGUUAGGU